GAAUCUACAAAAUGGGGACAGUAAUUGAGCGUAGUUCUCAAUCUGCCUUUUUAGUUUUUAUAAAUUGCGUAGCAUUAAAUGUGUACUUUAUUUGCUUGAAUUUGUAGUAUUUUACAUUGAUAAGCUCGGGCACAUUCAGGAGGAAAUCGCCAUAGUGUGGCAUGAUUGAGAGAAAUAAGUACGGACGGAAUCCACAGGGAGGAUAAGGUAGUGAUGCUCGAUCCAUCACCAACCUGCCACAGAAUACUAAAAAUAAUGAAGUUCGACCCAACUAACACCUAGAGGAGGGGUUGAGGGUGAAUAUGUGUUUAUGUCGAAUUUAAAUUUACCAAUCAAUAAAUGCAA
rnacentral:lncRNA from 1 species